GCAAAUAUGGGCUGGCUGGAGGGA
rnacentral:misc_RNA from 1 species